GACGAACGCUGGCGGCGUGCCUAAUACAUGCAAGUUGAGCGAUGAAGAUUGGUGCUUGCACCAAUUUGAAGAGCCGCGAACGGGUGUGUCACGCGUGGGGACUCUGCUUUUCAGCGGGGGACCACAUUUGAACACGAAUGCUAAUCCCGCAUAACCACUUUCAACAUAGGUUUUGAGUUUGAAAUUUGCCAUUGCAUCACUCAAAGAUGAUCCUGCGUUGUAUUAGGUCGUUGGUGAGGUACAGGCUCACCAAGGCGAUGAUACAUAGCCGACCUGAUCGGAUGAGUGGCCACAUUGGGACUGAGACACGCCACAAACGGCUACGGGAGGCAGCCGGAGUGAAACGGCAGCAAUGAGCGAAAGUCUGACCGCGCAACGCCGCGUGAGGGAGGAAGGUUGUCGGAUCGGAAAACUCUGUUGGCAGAUAAGAACGCUGGUGAGAGUGUAAAGCUCAGCAAGUGACGGUAACGACCCAGAAAGGGACGGCUAACUACGUG
rnacentral:rRNA from 1 species